rnacentral:rRNA from 1 species
AUUGAACGCUGGCGGCAGGCCUAACACAUGCAAGUCGAACGGUAACAGGGAUCAGCUUGCUGAUUCGCUGACGAGUGGCGGACGGGUGAGUAAUGUCUGGGAAACUGCCUGAUGGAGGGGGAUAACUACUGGAAACGGUAGCUAAUACCGCAUAACGUCGCAAGACCAAAGAGGGGGACCUUCGGGCCUCUUGCCAUCGGAUGUGCCCAGAUGGGAUUAGCUAGUAGGUGGGGUAACGGCUCACCUAGGCGGCGAUCCCUAGCUGGUCUGAGAGGAUGACCAGCCACACUGGAACUGAGACACGGUCCAGACUCCUACGGGAGGCAGCAGUGGGGAAUAUUGCACAAUGGGCGCAAGCCUGAUGCAGCCAUGCCGCGUGUAUGAAGAAGGCCUUCGGGUUGUAAAGUACUUUCAGCGGGGAGGAAGGGAGUAAAGUUAAUACCUUUGCUCAUUGACGUUACCCGCAGAAGAAGCACCGGCUAACUCCGUG